GAAGUUCUCUCCCAAGUGAUUAACUCCUUCAGCUUUGGAUCUGUCCAGUCAUGCUUCAAAACUUCACCAAUUAAAUAGUCAUCUGUUCCUAAAUCACCAAUAGACAAACUGUACACACCGCAUGGAAGUUCUUCCCAGAAGUCUGUUUUGGAUAUUCCCUCUCCAUCUGCAAAUUCAGAACUUUCAUUUACAGAGGCAUGUGGUGAUACAGAAGACAGCAGAAACCGAGGGUCCUCCUUUGUUGGCCAGUGAACAAGAAGGCUUCGCCUUCCAAAUGCAUCUCGACCAAACCAUAAUAUUCUUGAACUACUCUGCCAAUAAAUCAAAGCCCAAGG
rnacentral:misc_RNA from 1 species